rnacentral:rRNA from 1 species
ACAUGCAAGCUUCAACAUCCCAGUGAGAAUGCCCUAAACCCCUAAACAGCCAAAAGGAGCGGACAUCAGGAACACACUAAACCUUUAGCCAAAAACGCCUUGCUACGCCACACCCACACGGGAACUCAGCAGUGAAUAACAUUAAAGUAUGAGUGAAAGCUCGAUUUAGUUAUGAUAAAUAUGGUUGGUAAAUUUCGUGCCAGCCACCGCGGUUAUACGAAAAACCAAAAAUAAUAGCCCACGGCGUAAAAAGUGACCCGAGCCACGCCAAAAAUUUAAAGAAGAACCACAUCAAGGUUGUAAAAUACUUGUACGUGAGACCACCAACAACAAAGUGACUUUAAAACAAAGGCCCCUUCCCCCACGAAAGCUAAGAAACAAACUAGGAUUAGAUACCCUACUAUGCUUAGCCCUAAACAUAGACAAUAAAAACACAAUAUUGUCCGCCAGAGAACUACAAGUGAAAAACUAGAAACUCCAAGGACUUGGCGGUGCCCCACACCAACCUAGAGGAGCCUGUCCUGUAAUCGAUAAUCCACGUUUUACCUCACCAUUUCUAGUCAGUCCAGCCUAUAUACCGCCGUCGAAAGCCUACCUUAUGAAAGAAAGAAAGUAAGCAAAAUAGUCAGAAACUAAAACGUCAGGUCAAGGUGUAGCAUAUGAAAUGGAAGAGAUGGGCUACAUUUUCUAUACCAGAACAAACGGACAGCAAAAUGAAACCAAUGCUCGAAGGCGGAUUUAGCAGUAAGGCAAAAAAGAAAGUUUGCCUAAAGCCCGCUCUGGGGCGCGCACACACCGCCCGUCACCCUC